GAUGAACGCUGGCGGCGUGCCUAAUACAUGCAAGUCGAGCGAACGGACGAGAAGAGUGUUCUUUUGCGGUUGGCGGCGGACGGGUGAGUGACACGUGGAUAACCUACUUAUAAUACUGGGGUAACUUCGUGAAACCGGUGAUACUACUGGCUAAUAUUUUGAACCGGAUGGUUCAAAAGUGAAAGACGGUUUUGGUGUCACUUAUAGAUGGAGUCGCGCUGGAUUAGCUAGUUGGUAAGGUAACGGCUUACCAAGGCAACGAUGCAUAGCCGACCUGAGAGGGUGAUCAGCCACACUGGAACUGAGACACGGUCCAGACUCCUACGGGAGGCAGCAGUAGGGAAUCUUCGGCAAUGGGCGAAAGCCUGACGCAGCAACGCCGCGUGAGUGAUGAAGGCCUUCGGAUCGUAAAGCCCUGUUGUUAGGGAAGAACAGAUGUAGGAGUAACCGUGGCUGUCUUGACGGUACCCAAACAAAAAGCCCCGGCUAACUACGUG
rnacentral:rRNA from 1 species